rnacentral:rRNA from 1 species
GUUGAACGCUGGCGGAAUGCUUUACACAUGCAAGUCGGGCGGCAGCGCGGGGGCAACCCUGGCGGCGAGCGGCGAACGGGUGAGUAAUACAUCGGAACGUGUCCUUGAGUGGGGGAUAGCUCGGCGAAAGCCGGAUUAAUACCGCAUAAGCUCUGAGGAGGAAAGCGGGGGACUGGUAACGGCCUCGCGCUGUUGGAGCGGCCGAUGUCGGAUUAGCUAGUUGGUGGGGUAAAGGCCCACCAAGGCGACGAUCCGUAGCUGGUCUGAGAGGAUGAUCAGCCACACUGGAACUGAGACACGGUCCAGACUCCUACGGGAGGCAGCAGUGGGGAAUUUUGGACAAUGGGGGCAACCCUGAUCCAGCCAUUCCGCGUGAGUGAAGAAGGCC